rnacentral:lncRNA from 1 species
GGGUGAUGAAAAUGCUCAAAGUUAGAUUACGGUGAUGGUUGCGCGCCUCUGUGAAUAUACUCAAAAGCCUUGAAAACAAAAGUUGAGGUGCUACAAACUAAAGGAUCUAAUCGCAGUCACAGAACAGUUGCCCAUGCUUAGUGGCAAGAGGCUGUAUCCUGAGGACUUUUGUGUUUCCAGAUUUCUCCAAAGGAGAAUUACAGUUUGGCAGGUGGAAUGAGGGUCAGGUAGAAAAGGCUGACGAUGCAACUAACUUUAAGGAGGGGGAGGACAAAGGGUGAAGACCAGGUCAGUGUGGAGAAAGGGAGGUUGUAGGAUGUUAGUGCUUCAGAGGAAAACAACAACGAGCUUUUCUCUCCUCUCUGGGGAUCCUGGUCAGCUUCACAUUGGUGGCCCAGAAAUCAGUCUCAGCCCCUCCCAGUAUGGACCGCUCCUUGACAGCCGCCCUCUCUCCUAUAAAGGCAGAUGCAAGCUACGUUUGUGUGGGGAUGACACAGCACAAAGGCCCUUGCCAGAUGUGAGCCCCUUGAUAUUGGAUUUCCCAGUCUUCAGAACUGUCGAAAAGCCCAGGAAUGUUCUAGAAUAUAUGAUUGGCGAGGACCCUCACUGGUGCCAUCCACAUCUUCUCUUCAGGACUGGGAACGUUGGCAGCUGAUGAUCCUCUGGGAAGUUCCUUGGUCGGAUCCCAGGGUGCUCACCAAUCCACCCCCGGCACUCAAAUCUCCAUCUCACAAGCUAUGUGACAGGGACCCUGACUACAACAAUGGACAAAACAUUUUGGCCAGGCGUGGUGGCUCAUGCCUGUAAAC